rnacentral:rRNA from 1 species
AGAUUGAACGCUGGCGGCAGGCCUAACACAUGCAAGUCGAGCGGUAGAGAGGUGCUUGCGCCUCUUGAGAGCGGCGGACGGGUGAGUAAAGCCUAGGAAUCUGCCUGGUAGUGGGGGAUAACGCUCGGAAACGGACGCUAAUACCGCAUACGUCCUACGGGAGAAAGCAGGGGACCUUCGGGCCUUGCGCUAUCAGAUGAGCCUAGGUCGGAUUAGCUAGUUGGUGAGGUAAUGGCUCACCAAGGCGACGAUCCGUAACUGGUCUGAGAGGAUGAUCAGUCACACUGGAACUGGGACACGGUCCAGACUCCUACGGGAGGCAGCAGUGGGAAUAUUGGACAAUGGGCGAAAGCCUGAUCAGCAUGCCGCGUGUGUGAAGAAGGUCUCGGAUUGUAAAGCACUUUAAGUGGAGGAAGGCAAUUAACCUAAUACGUUAGUGUUUUGACGUUACCGACAGAAUAAGCACCGGCUAACUCUGUGCCAGCAGCCG